GAGACGCUGUGAAGUCAGGUGGAUGC
rnacentral:piRNA from 1 species